GCGAUGGUGGUUCAGUGGUAUAAUUCUUCCCUUCCAUGAGGAAGACCUAGGUUCAAUUCCCAGCCGAUGUA
rnacentral:tRNA from 1 species